ACAGCCUUCCACCCAGUGAUGUCUAAGGGACAGUCCAAUCACCCACAGGGUGUGGCCCCAGAAUGAGAAAAAUCCUUUGCAUUGCAAACAUUCUGGCUGGGAGGAGGACGCUUAGAGAAGGGGAUCCUGAGUCAGGCACUUUGUGAAACAGUCCGUUUACUCUGUAACCCAGGGAAAGCCAGCCCUUGGCAUGAGGUAUGGGAGUGAGGCCCCUCUGACCCCUAAAUCUCUUGCCAGAAACCUGUCUGCUGCCUCAGGGUCCACCAUGAGUGUGAAUAAGAGUCCUAAUGUUUCCUGACAUACUGGUGUACUAAUCUGGCCAUUAAGUCACUGGUGAUCCACAACCAAUCUGCAUAAAUAAAACCCAGUUCUCCUCUGUCAGUGUUUGCCAGCUACGCUCCUCCCUCUGAGACCCUUCACCUGCCCCUGUGAAAGCCCAGCCACAUCUGGCCCCAACGCCCUCAGGCAGAGGCAGGAGCAUGGAGCCUCCUGGGUCAGGACAGCUCUGCUUCCUCCAGCGCACUUCCAGGCAACCAGGCAGGGUCCAUCCUGUCCUCCAGAACUUGGUCAGCCCCUCCUUGACAAGGCUGCCUAGGGGAGAGAUCUCGCACAGGGUGCCUGAAAACUCUGAGUGGUGUUGUGAGGACACUGAAAGAACAAAAAACCUUCAGAGGAAGUGAGGAAGUGAGGCGAUCCCAAGAGCAGCACGUGAGUGGGGAGUUCUUCGGUGCCUGCGCUCCCUCUGAGGUCUUCAAAGCGGACACAAGCAACCUACAAGGCCCAGAAUAGAGACAGGAGGCUUCCCACCGAGGGGCGACCUGAGUUACACCUUGAAAAGUGCUUAGGACUCUGUCAGUCAAUCCCCACAAGGAACCAGGUGGUCAUGGGCAAGCGAAGAGAUCAGAGAAGACGCUGCAGGCACCACCACACUCAUUCCUUGUACGUUGCCCCUUGCUGUCUCCGAUGUCUUUCCUCAGGAGGCCCUUCUCCAACACCGGGGUCUCCCAUCCCCAGUGCCCUCAGCUCCUGCCCUCUGCCCAUCUGCCUCACUCCAGUCCGGGGCCUCCAAGAGCACAAGCCGCAUGACCAGCCUGUACCCACAGAAACUGCCAGUCACAUCUUACUAGUGCUUGGCAUGCUAAUUAAACCAGAAAAAGCAAAUAAACACUCCCAGUCUGACCCUGGGGAGAACAGAUGAGGCAGUUAGCUAUGAGAAGAUGGGGUGUAACCCUAAAAUAAAAACCAGUAGAGCUAGAAAGAACUCUCCUUCGAAGAGAAUGCCCCACCUUGCUCAGUUUCCCUCCAGCACAGUAAUUCCCAGGACGCAUCUGUUUAUACCAGCAAGUGCAGGCAUAAGCAAUGGAAGUGAAAACCGUACCUCCCAGCUACACCAUCUCUGUCCAGUUACUCACAGCUACUUAUCUGUCUCUAUCAAAUAACACAUAUUAAACUGGCACCUCAACAAACAAAUAAAAUCCGGUUAAUUUCCUGGCAGGAAAUCCCAGUGUAGUUAGUCAGCAGCUCUAGUCCCUAACCAGCAUGGUGAACUUUAGCAGGCCUACCUUGCUCCAUGCCCAUCAACAAAACCUUACACCAAGCCACUGCUUCUCUCUCCUGAACCACUGCACCAGCUUCUCACUGAUCUCUCUGUCAUUAGUUUUUCUCCACCAAGAAUCCUCACUCUGGAGACCCUGAGCAUAAAGAUCCUUCUGAAACCCCAAAUCUGGCCUACUCUUCCUUGCUUAAAUCUCGUAACCUUGGGGCUUGUAACCUUGAGUUUAGCUCUGUGGUUAGCAUGUGCAAGGCUCUGGGCUCCAAAAAUAAAAAAAUCUGUCCCCCUUUUCCUGUGCUGUAGGAAAUAAUUGAAACACCUAUGUACAACGUACAAAGUCAUUCAUGAUCUGACCUGCUUACCAUUCAGACCCAAAUCUCACUGCUCCUCGCUGAAGUUCGAUGUUCCAGCCAUGUUCACGUGCCCAGGGCUCCCAGGACAAUACUAGUAAAUGCAACCACAACAACCAACAUUUGACAGGGUCUCACUAAAUCACCAAGUUUCCCGGGCUGGCCUUGAACUUGCCAUCCUCCUGCCUCAACCUCCCAGAGUGCUGGGAUUCCAGGUCUGCACCACCUCACCUCAUUCUUAAUUCACUUGUUGAGUGACCAAAGGAGAUUUUCUUCUCUGAGCAUUACUUUCAUCAUCUAUAACAUGGAGCCUACAUUUCUGCUCUAUCCCCUGCCCAGUAGUGGGAUUCAGCCCAGGAGCACUUUACCAUCACUGGCCUUCUUAAACUUUUUAAAAAUUUUUUGAGACAAGGUCUCUCUAAAUUGCCCAGGUGGAACUCAAACUUGUGAUCCUCCUGAGUCAGCCUCCCUCAGCUCUGGGAAUAAAAGCAUGUUACACCACACUCAGUUUAUAAUGCUUGAUUUUGACAGUAGUAUAAGGAUUAAAUUAAGUAUUAUUAUACUGCCCAUCACACAACCUACUAUACGGUAAUAUUCUCAAUAUAAUAUUUUUAAAUGUUUAUAGCUAACUACAGAAAAACAAUCUGGUCCAAUAGUAACCUGGGCUUUUCAAAGCUUAAUCAAAGUAACAAUAGAAAAUACCCCUUGUUGAGCUAGGAGUGUAGCUCAAUGGCAGAGCACUUGCUUAAUGUGUGUGAGGCCCUGAAUUCAAUC